UUGAAGCUGACCCUUGCAGGUUGGUGAUCUACGCGGAAGACAUCGUCAGGUGGGGAGUUUGGCUGGGGCGGCACAUCUGUUAAACGAUAACACAGGUGUCCUAAGGUCAGCUCAAUGAGAACAGAAAUCUCAUGUGGAACAAAAGGGUAAA
rnacentral:rRNA from 1 species